rnacentral:pre_miRNA from 1 species
AGCUCCUUGCUGGAGAAGCAGGGCACGUGCAAAACUGUGAAUUCCCUUUUGGCUUCUCAAACUGCACGUGCUCCCCUUCUCCAACAUGGGUUC